rnacentral:lncRNA from 13 species
AAAAGUAUAAAAGCAUAAAAAUGGGAAGAAAAACCUGAAAUCCUAAUAUAUAGCCCUGAUGAUUGGUAUUUAUAUUUGGAGGAUUCUCUUCUAGUUAAUUUUUUCUUCCACGCUCUCGUGUGCUCUUGUGCACUCUGGCACUCUCUCUCUCUCACACACACACACACACACACACACACACACACACACAAUGCGGGGCAGGGGGAAUAGUUGGAUUCUGUCUUCAACUCAUCAGUUAAAAAAUCCAAGUGGUGUAUUAUUUUACUUCUGCCACCCAGCAAAUGGAGAAAUUAAUUUCACUUGUCCCAGGAUAAGAUGAAUGAGCCUUUGUUCUUGGUGAAGGUGAGCUUUAGGGCUGGGCAGAGAGGCUGCUGUUCAGGGAGAGUGGGCCUGCAGCAGGAAAAAACAGCUGCUCACAUUUUCUGUACUGAUUCUCUCUGAGCUCCCUGGUGACCUUAGGGAGAGGAAUGAUCUACCCACUCAUGGUCCUAGGAGCCAGAAUCCAAUUGAUUCAGAAAAAGAACAUAUGCUGAACAUUUUUUACCCUGAAUUUUGUGGAGUAAAGUUCUGCUUGCUACCCUGAUGUUUCCCUGGGUGGCACUGCUGAAUAGGCAGGCUUCCCGUGACAUGUUACUACACAUAGUUGCUCAUGUCGUGUCUGGGCUUCUGCAGGCUCCUGGGGUGGACAUUUCUCAGAAUGUUGGUUGGACAACAUCAUGGCCGGAAACCGUGGUCUCUGGAAAGAAGUGUCCUAUGAGGAGUCUCUUGGCUUCACUACAUCUGGUCCCUAGGUGAAGAGUCCAGGGGAGCAUAUUUUGGGUACGAGAGAGUUGCGUGCUGGAGAGCUUGGCCUACCAGAGAGCCUCUAAGGGAAGUCCAGAAGUCCUGGAGCGAGAGGGCACAUCUGCUGCUGCUGCCUCACACUGCUCAGCUACCUCCACACCCCUUGUGCCAGCUCUUCGGGGAGUACCUCAUGGUGUGCUCAAUAGGAAGGCUUAACACUCCUUCCAGCUCUUGUCUUGAGAGUACAGGUAAAAUCUACUUGUGGAAGAGGGUUAUGUGUCUCCACAUAACCCUGGGAGACUCUCCCAGCCCCAGGUCAUCUCCUCCAGAGAGCCAGAUUUUCUGGAGGCAACAGGGGAGUUUGUUAAAGCUAGUAUAAUUAUUGAGGGGACAGAUCAAGCGUUCUCUUUGAAAGAACCAUCCCAGAGAUGCUUCAAAGCUGUUGACCUGAAGUCUAAAGAACCUAUUGUUUUUUCCAUUCAGUGGGUAGUUGAUAGUUUUGUGAGCCUGUGGAAAAGAGCUUGAUGGCUGAAGAAGAGCAGAGGGAGAGGCAAAAGAGGUAUCCGUUUUGUUUCUUUUUGAAUUGAAGGAAAAUUUGUGUUAAGCCAAAGAAGGAAUGAACAGAACGGAGCAAGACCCUGUCAAUAUUCUCCCCAUUUCCUCCUUUCUCCUACCCCAGCCUAAUUUCUCAGUCUUCUUCAUCAGCAAAAUAAUACUUUGGAGACUGAUGGGUGCCUGAGUUUCUUGAUUCUCAAACCCUGGGAAUCUGCAGAUCAUCAGGGCUGGGCAACUGAAUAGCAUUUGUGGACAUGAUAUGAUCAUGUCCACAUGGAAACAUUUAAACUCCAUUUAUUUACCACCACAGGCAAAUAUUCGUGUAUCUGCUUUUGCAUUCAUUCUAUGGAUAUGCUUUGAGGUUGGAUUUUGAAUAAAAUCUAAGGCGGGUACCA